rnacentral:sRNA from 1 species
AAACAUAAUGAGACAUUCACACCGACUGGUUUGACUGGUUAUUGAUUUGUUGCAUAGUUAUAUUGUGAGACCUUUUUGUCAACAUUUGUUUAAAAUAUAUCUUUACUUACACGGAAAAAUGGCUACUAUACGAAAAGGUUCAUGUAUAAUCGCUUCGUAAUGUUGACUAUAUAAAUAACGUUCGUAAGAUAAUUUAAGUCCGUUAAUUAUUUAUACCCAUUUUCAUCCAAGAUGGCAACGCCAGGUGUAUACAAUUGAUAGUCGUAUUCUUGUUAUUUCACGAAAAAGCAUUUGUUAUUUGUUAUGAUAUUACUAGUAAUCACAUUUUAUUUCUAAUAAAUGGCAAAAAC